UACCUCAUAAACAAUAAUCUAAUCUCUGACCAGGCUUUUCUUUUUUUUUUUUUUUCUUAAAGAACAUGCAUGCAGAACAACCAGUGACAAAAAAUAUGAUUGCAGCAAUUGGUCAAUUGGUUUGUGUUAAGCUCCACCUGAUGCCUCCAGCUGCGCCUCCUCAUCCUCAUUAGCCGGCAGCCUCUUAAGGAGACCACGGACCUGUAACCGACGCUAGACCUCGACCUCCUGAGGAACUUACCCGGUUACGGUUCUUCUCUCGCCGUCUCACUCUGAUGAUCUCUGGCUCCUUCUCGAAUCACGCGGUUGCUGCCAGCAAGACCCUCCAACCACACCUUGGACUACCUGGAAAGAUCCUAGAUCUCAGCUCUACCCUGUCCUAUUAAAUCUCUUCUUUACUUCUUUACUUUUUUUGAGAGCAACAGCAAACAAUUACUCGCCUUAGUAAUAUGAGAAACAAACACAUUACCAUGCAAUCAUCAUGUGUCUUGUCUGCCUGUUUGGUCGCCUACAACAAAUGCCAUACAUCCAUCCAGUGAGCCUCAGAUCCACCAUAGGCUCAACAUUGCUCUGUAUUAUCACUGUUGACUGCUUGAAUGUUUCAGAACUAUACAAAAGGCCAUGGACCCAAACUGUACUACCAAGUUUUAAACAGACACACCUGAGCCGCACCAACUGCAAUGAGUCAUAAACUCAGGUCCGGAUGCUCCACCAGAUCCGCCACAAAAGGCCUUUACCAGCAUUUAGGAACUGCCACAAACAGAAAUAUGUUUCUUUUUUUGUGUUCACUAAAACCUGGAAUAAACUCCAGCCAGGGAUGCCCACAGAAUUUUUUUAGUGGAGGCCACUGGGAGGCCAGAGCAAAAUGCAGGGUGGCCAAGGGAUAUCAUGUCUAUUAUGCAUAACAACAAACGUUCAUGCACCCCGUGCAGAAAAAGUUUGUGCUAAUGCUCAGAAGAGUUCCCGAUGUGCAAUGUUCCUAGAAAACAGACAAUUACAAUACAAUAAAAUACAAUGCCUUCUUA